rnacentral:rRNA from 1 species
CGCUAUUUAGGUUAGAGUUUGAUCAUGGCUCAGGACGAACGCUGGCGGCGUGCUUAACACAUGCAAGUCGAGGGGGGUGGGGCAACCCACUCACCGGCGAACGGGUGCGUAACACGUGAGCGACCCGCCCUACCAGAGGGGGAUAGCCGGCCCAACGGCCGGGUAAUACCGCAUACGCUCUUCGGGCUACAUGGCCUGUUGAGGAAAACCCGCAAGGGUGCUGGAGGAGGGGCUCGCGGCCUAUCAGCUAGUUGGCGAGGUAACGGCUCACCAAGGCGACGACGGGUAGCUGGUCUGAGAGGAUGGCCAGCCACAUUGGGACUGAGAUACGGCCCAGACUCCUACGGGAGGCAGCAGUGGGGAAUAUUGCGCAAUGGGCGGAAGCCUGACGCAGCAACGCCGCGUGCGGGAGGAAGGCCUUCGGGUCGUAAACCGCUUUCAGGGGGGACGAAGCCACCAGGGUUAAUAGCCCAUGGGGUGACGGUACUCCCAGAAGAAGCCCCGGCUAACUACGUGCCAGCAGCCGCGGUACGCCC